UCUUCGUUUUUCAAUCUCAAGUUCCAGUUUAGAGAACUCUAUCAAUGUCCAAAUAUUUUCCAUUCCCCGAUUCAUUCCUUCUUCAGUGUCAUUUUCCUUCUCCUUUCUGUUUUAGUAGAUCUAAUAAAUUUAUAGGGUUCUGGAUAAAAACUAAUAAUUAAUCUGAGAUGGCUAAUAUCAUGAAGCAAAUCUUAUCGAAACCGAUCUAACUGUCUGACCAGGUGGUGAAAGCGGCUAAAAUGAGGCUAGUUCGUUCAAGCAGGAGUGCACGGAACUCAAGGCGAAGACUGAGAAGCUUGUUCGUCUACUGGACAAGGCUUUCUCCCUCGUCCUCAAGUGUCGAGCCAACAGCAUCAUGAAGCGCGUCUUCACCAUCAUCCCCGCCGCCGCCUUCCACAAGAUGUCUGCUCAGUUGGAGAACUCUAUCAGUGACGUUUCUUGGCUCCUUCGUGUAUCUGCUCCCGCUGAGGAUCGCGGUGACGCUGGUUACCUUGGUCUUCCUCCUAUUGCCGCCACGAGCCCAUCCUCUGCCUCAUCUGGGAGCAUAUUUCUCUUCUCCACACCGGACCCCUUGAAGACCGCUUCGGUGCUGCCGCUUCCCUCGUUUCUCUUGCAUAACGAUUGCUACACUAAGAUUAUCAUUGAGGAAGGAGGCGUACGGCUCACUUCACUUGUUACGGCAAUUCGACGAGAGAAACGAUGGAUGUUCGGAACUAGAAGCUCAUCUGAGUUUUAGCUCAUUUAUCCGUUCCAAUCCGCAUCUAAGAGGUUUCUAUUAAGUCGAGGGCUUGGCGUGAGAUGUUCUGUUUUGCUCGAUGGAGAUACUUCCAUUACUGAUUCGUUCUCUUCUCACUGGAAUUUCUUCACUCCAACUAAACAAGUGAAGAGAAUUGAGAUCAGUGAUCGACAUAGGUAAUGCUUGUUGCUGUUUUUAUUGUAAUGUGACUUAAGUAAGUGUGUGGCGGUCAUUUUUGGUUUAAUUUCAAAGCUUUUGUUGUGGGUUUUUCAGUGAUGUUUAGUGACAUAUCGUGAGAAGAGACAUUCUUAUAUGUACUUGGCGUACUUCCUGAGUUAUGCUCCUUAGUUAUAUUAGUGGAAUGAACAGAAGAGCUUUCUUUUGUUUGUAAAUUCUUAAACCAACUUUUUUUUUGUUUUUUGCUAAGCUUGGCUACUCAAAAGAAAGAUUUGUAUGGUCUUUGAUCCAUCACAGUGGUUGCAAAUUCCUUUCAGGGAAGACCGAUGAGAUCGAAGAGGCAAAGAAGAAACAUAAAACAAAGGCCAAGGCUUAGAAGACUUGUGGGUUAACAUUUUUUGUAUGUUUAUUAUGUGUCUCGGUUUUUCUUUUGAACUGAUGUAGGAUGAUAUGUAAGUCUUGAUUGUGUUGAAUCCUAAGAAAGAAAAUUUGUACUA